rnacentral:rRNA from 1 species
GACGAACGCUGGCGGCGUGCUUAACACAUGCAAGUCGAACGGAAAGGCCUGCUUUCCCUUGUGGAUUGCGGGUACUCGAGUGGCGAACGGGUGAGUAACACGUGAGUGAUCUGCCCCCAACUUGGGUAUAAGCCUGGGAAACUGGGUCUAAUUCCCGAUAGGACUGCAGGGUGGUGCCUGUGGUGGAAAACGAUUUUCUAGUGGUUGGGGAUGAGCUCGCGGCCUAUCAGCUUGUUGGUGGGGUAAUGGCCUACCAAGGCGGCGACGGGUAGCCGGCCUGAGAGGGUAGACGGCCACAUUGGGACUGAGAUACGGCCCAGACUCCUACGGGAGGCAGCAGUGGGGAAUAUUGCACAAUGGGCGGAAGCCUGAUGCAGCGACGCAGCGUGGGGGAUGACGGCCUUCGGGUUGUAAGCUCCUUUCGACCGCGAGGAAGCCACCUGGUUGGAAGGGUGGUGACGGUAGUGGUAGAAGAAGCACCGGCUAACUACGUG